rnacentral:rRNA from 1 species
GGAGAUAUCUCGUUCUCCCCGAAAUAGCUUUAGGGCUAGCCUCGAUCGCUUACCGACGGUGGUAGAGCACUGGAUCCGUGCGGGGGCCUCACCGCCUACCAACCGAAACCAAACUCCGAAUGCCGUCGGUCCCGAGAUCGGGAGUCAGAACAUGUGGGCUAAGCCGUGUGUUCGAGAGGGAAACAGCCCAGACCGCCUGCUAAGGUCCCCAAAUCAACGCUGAGUGGCAAAGGAUGUGCGUUUGCCUAGACAACCAGGAUGUUGGCUUAGAAGCAGCCAUGCAUUUAAAGAGUGCGUAACAGCUCACUGGUCAAGUGGACAUGCGCCGACAAUACACGGGGCUAAGCGUUGUACCGAAGCAGCGGACUGUUUUAUCAGUGGUAGGGGAGCUUUCCAUGCCGGGGCGAAGCCGACGGGCGACCGUCGGUGGACUGCAUGGAAGUGAGAAUGCUGGCAUGAGUAACGAGAGAGGGGCGAGAAACCCCUCCGCCGUAAGCCUAAGGGUUCCUGGGCAAGGCUAAUCCCCCCAGGGUCAGUCGGGAGCUAAGGCGAGGCCGACAGGCGUAGCCGAUGCACAACAGGCGGACAUUCCUGUACCACCGCGGAGCGUUACUACGACGGGGUGACGGAGAAGGGUAGCCGGGCGGGGUUCUGGACGUCCCCGUGAAAGCGCGUAGGCCGCAGGGCAGGCAAAUCCGCCCUGCAUCAGGCCGAGACGUUAGACGAAGCUUCAUGUGAAGCCGGCGAGCCCAUGCUUCCGAGAAAAACCUCUAAGGAGCGAGGCGGUGCCCGUACCAAAACCGACACAGGUAGGCGGGUAGAGCAUACCAAGGCGAUCGGGAGAACCAUGGUUAAGGAACUCGGCAUACUGACUCCGUAACUUCGGGAGAAGGAGUGCCCCCGCCUGUGAGGUCCCACGCGGACGGAGCGGGAGGGGGUCGCAGCGAAACGGCCCAAGCGACUGUUUACCAAAAACACAGGACUCUGCAAAGCCGCAAGGCGACGUAUAGGGUCUGACGCCUGCCCGGUGCUGGAAGGUUACGCGGAUGAGUUAGCGCAAGCGAAGCCCUGAAGCCAAGCCCCAGUAAACGGCGGCCGUAACUAUAACGGUCCUAAGGUAGCGAAAUUCCUUGUCGGGUAAGUUCCGACCUGCACGAAUGGCGUAACGACUUGGGCGCUGUCUCAACCAUGGACCCGGUGAAAUUGUAUUAUUCGUGAAGAUGCGAAUUACCU